UACAGAGGGGGCAAGCGUUAUUCGGAAUUAUUUGGGCGUAAAGGGCGCGUAGGCGGCCUGGACAAGUUGGGAAGGUGAAAUCCCUCGGCUUAACCGAGGAAGCUGCCCUCCAAACUGCUUGGCUUGAGUCCGGGAGAGGUGAGUGGAAUUCCCAAGUGUAGCGGUGAAAUGCGUAGAUAUUGGGAGGAACACCAGUGGCGAAGGCGGCUCACUGGACCGGAACUGACGCUGAGGCGGCGAAAGCGUGGGGAGCAAACGGG
rnacentral:rRNA from 1 species